rnacentral:rRNA from 1 species
GACGAACGCUGGCGGCGUGCCUAAUACAUGCAAGUCGAACGAGAGCGACCGGUGCUUGCACUGGUCAAUCUAGUGGCGAACGGGUGAGUAACACGUGGGUAACCUGCCCAUCAGAGGGGGAUAACAUUCGGAAACGGAUGCUAAAACCGCAUAGGUCUUCGAACCGCAUGGUUUGAAGAGGAAAAGAGGCGCAAGCUUCUGCUGAUGGAUGGACCCGCGGUGCAUUAGCUAGUUGGUGAGGUAACGGCUCACCAAGGCCGUGAUGCAUAGCCGACCUGAGAGGGUGAUCGGCCACAUUGGGACUGAGACACGGCCCAAACUCCUACGGGAGGCAGCAGUAGGAAAUCUUCCGCAAUGGACGCAAGUCUGACGGAGCAACGCCGCGUGAGUGGAGAAGGUUUUCGGAUCGUAAAACUCUGUUGUUAGAGAAGAACAAGUGCUAGAGUAACUGUUAGCGCCUUGACGGUAUCUAACCAGAAAGCCACGGCUAACUACGUG